AAUAAAUAAAUAAAACACUUACAAAAAGCGCCCCCGAAAAAUGCUGAAUUGAGUUUUUCUACGCCCGUUAACACCCAGACAACAAUACCAACACCUACUCGUAUCCGUAUCCGUAACCGUAACCGUAAUCGUAAUCAUAUUUGUUAUAGUAACCCUCGUCGUACAUAUAUCGUAUGUUCCGUUUGUGUUUCAAUAUAUUCCAACAUAUAUAUAUAUAAAUACAUAAAUAUACAUUUAUUGUGGUACGCGCGCGGCGCAGCUUCCAACAGAUAUAGCGAUAUAGCAACUGUAUCAUUAUACAUAUACAGAUAUACCUAUAAAUCUGCCUGGAUCGCAAAGAUCGUACUAUUUUUUUUGAAGUGUUACAUACUCCCUCAAGUGCUACCAAAAUGCCUUAUAACAGCGUCACGCUUUAGUGUCCACAAGUGCUACUUACCACAAAUCAAACGAGUCCCCUGGGACCCUCGAGCAGUGUUGGUUAACAGCCCAACUCAGUCUCAACAGACAGUCAACAGUUUAACCAACACACGCAUUCAAUUGCUCUCUCUCUCUCUCUCUCUAUCUCCCUGCCUACAAGUCAUCAUCUUCUUCUUCUACAAGUGCCUCUUCCGGAUCGUCAUCGCACAACAGCCAAUCGCUUGUGCCUUUUAUGAGCGAGCGUGCGACUCGUGUUGGUCGUCGUUGUCGUCGGUUGAUGUCUCGGAUGUGGAUGUGGAUGUCGACCGGUGCCGGUGGUCAAAACAUUCAGUUCAAUUCAACGCUGUGAGCAACACACGCUGGAAGCGUCGAUGGAACCGCGUCGCGACGCAGCGGCAACGGCAGCAGCGGCAGCGACAACAAAAUCAACAACAACAAAAG